ensembl:snRNA U6 U6 spliceosomal RNA
GUGCUCGCUUAGGCAGCACACAGACUGAAAUUGUAAUGAUACAGAGAAGAUUAACAUGGCCCCUGUGCAAGGAUGACAUGCAAAUUAGUGAAGUGUUCCAGAAGAAA